AGUUCCCGUACGACCACUGAGGUUAAGCAACGUCGAGUCUGGUCAGUACUUGGAUAGGUGACCGCUUGAGAAUACCAGGUGCUGUAAA